UUAGUCAUUAUGUAAGGGGAACAUUUCCCGGACCAUUAGGAACAAGUUUUAUAUGAUUCGGUUGUCGGUUAGUGAAUGAACGGAUUGUUUCGUGUUAGUGUAGGAAAUUUUAUAAGUAUAUGUGUAUAGGAAUCCAAAGGGCACGUGGGUUGAAUCAUAGAUUGUCUAUACUAUGUAAAGUUGUGAAUGUGACAUUCCAGCAUAAACCUACAUGUAAAAGAAGCUUGUGUAUAUAUUCGUGAUUAAUUGAUUGUGCGUAGGAAGGAACAUUGGCAUGUAUGAAGGUACGCAUGUAUAUAUAUAAGUGUAUAUAUAUAUAUGUAUGUAUGUAUGAUAAUAAGUACGUAGGUGUAAAUGUGUGUGUGAAUGAAUGUUCAAUGCUUAAGACAUAUGCAUGAACGUUAUCAAAGUGUUCGAGUAUUUAUGGAUACUAAUGAUGUGCGUUGAGUUGGAAUGUAAUGUAGGUAUGGGAUCGUUGGCUUCAUGAAGAAAUGGAGCUGGAUUUGGAUAAGAGUAUUUAAGAAAGCGCUUGGACAAUUCCACGACUACUUUAUAGAAUGCUCUACGAAAUUCUAUUAUAUAGUUUAAUGUUGUAUGGUAUGUUAAUGACUAAUGGUUUGGUUGUACGUGGUGUCCACAGGUAUCGCUUGGGUUUUCUCUACAUUUAUUGAAGUGAAGCGGACUUAGUUCGAGUUGAGAGCAAGGAUUGUACGGGGUAGAAUGGUCACAUAGUGUAACUCAUAUAGGUUUUGAAGUAUUAAUGUUAUAAAACGUUAUAAUCCGUUUUAAUGAAUAUAUGGCAUUUCGCAUUUGAACCUUCAUGUGUUUGAUAUGUCUAUUAAAGAACGAAAUUUUUGGGCUCUUGUUUUCCGCUGCGUCGUAUUUUAAGUUAUUACGCGUUAGUCUUACAGGGAAUUGUUCUUAUUACGAACGGGUCAUGCCCGAAUUUUGUUAAAUAAUAGUAUGAUAAUAUUACAUUUUGGAAUGUGUAAUUUGGGCGUAUCAAGUUGGUAUCAGAGCCCUGGUUUGAGGGAAAUCAAGUAUGAGGAGGCAAAUACUUGAACUCAAACCUGUGUGCUCUUGUGACGAGGAACCCGUACAAUCCAAGACUCGAUCAAGAUCUAAAGGUAGAAGCAAAUGUAAGUAUGAAUUUAAGUAUGUUUAUGAAGAAACUAACAUUAUGUUGUGUGUAAGAUAAGCAUAGUUGUUUGGAUGAGGAUGAUCCACGACUGUGGUCUCGGACUGACACCAAGGCAUGUAAUAAGACCAUUGCCCAGGUCAGUGAAAGAAUGUUCAUAAGCGAAAGCUCGUCACACGGAUGAACGAGGUCAAUACGAAACAUGGUAUGGAUGGGGACGAAGAGGACCGACUCGUUGCUGCAUGUUCAAGUACUGCACCAAGGUAGUAAGGUUAGCAAAUUAUUUAAUAUAUGAAGGUACGAUGCUCGAAUCCCUCAAACCUACGCUCUCGUGAAAGUGUGUUCGUUUCUAAGCGCCACACAAGUAAGUGAUUUAAGGAUUUCGAGCUAUGCUUUUAGAUGAAAACGGAAAUGGGUUAUGGAUAAAUUACUAUUAUAACCUGGGUUGGGACGUUAUGGGAUGUUAUGGAAGGUUUCGGGACUGCCCGAGACCAUUUCUGGUUGGAAAAAGGACCCGGGGACAAAAAAUUUUGGUCAAACAGCGUCUGCACAGCAGAGAGCCCGUCGGCGACGGCCUUUAUGCCGUCGGCGACGGCACCCCUCCACCUGACGCGCUAAUUGUCUGUCUACGGGCAAUGUUUAGCGACGGGACCUUCCCGAGCCCGUCGGCGACGCACCAUGUGCCGUCGGCGACGGGUCCCCCUUAUCUGCUUAUGCUGAAAUUGUUUGUUUAUUAGGCUAAGGUCCUUAAUUCAGUUCUAGCAUUCAUUAAACAUUAGGAACACCCCAAGUUGAUUAUGAAGCUAAGAAAUUCAAGACAACUAUCAUGUUUUAAUGAUGUAUGUGCGGGAAGUUAUGUAUGCGAAUGAAUGAAAUAAGUAACACGUCUAGAAGGUUUGUAAAGAAAGAUUGGAUGAGUUUAUGAAAAUUU